CCUGCUCUGAGCUGAACUGGGCAAGCUGGAAGGUAUCUUGGCUUUCCCUGUACUGGGGAAUAACUUGACCUUUGUGGAGAAUAAGUGGUUCCAAAAAAUUGACCAGGAACUGUUGGAUGAGAGAGAGAUGGUUUCUAGCCUGGCAUCCUUCUCCAAAUUUGAAGAAUCAGUGAACACAGAUCCUUGUCUCAAGAGUUCUGCGGGUUUUGGAGAAAUUAAACUAUUAAACGUUCCUGGCUGAAGACCAAUUCUAAUAUUUUGUAAAAUUAAAAAGUCAUAAAUCAAACAGGACCUGGGUGCUUAUUCAGUCUGUGCUUCACCCACGUCACCUGGGAACCUGGCACAGCAACACUGCACAAACUGACUGCUUUGCAUCAGUGAGGUCUCUGCCAGGUCAGAGCUGGAUGAAAGAUCCACAGCAACACUGAAGUAUUUUAGAGAGAUCCUUGGAUGCAAUGGGAUCUUUAUGUGGACAGACUGAUUGCUAAUGGGAUGCUGCAUGAUGCAUGGACUGGGACACCCUAGAUCUGAAGACCUAAAAUGACAAGUAAAACAAGAUAA